rnacentral:lncRNA from 1 species
GAGGCUUAGCAGAAGUUAUUACUGUCCUGUGUUUCCAUACUGUAGUGUAUUUAACUUUAUCUAAUUUUAUGGCACCAAAACUUUGGGCCAUAAAAGGAGCUCAGUGUUGGAGCUCCUUGAGCCACCUGAUGGGUUCUCAGUAAGUGCUGAGUUGAAGUGAAUUCAUUCCUACAGUUUAUACUUGUACAUGACAUGUACAAGUUUUCGGGUGAAGUAACUUCUACAUAUUCUGGAGUGGUCCCCUUAUUUAAGAGAUUCUAAUCUGGGAAGAUCCAGGACAUAGGGUAGCUUCAUCUAAUUUAGAGCUGGAUUAGACCUUC